UGAAAAUUCCAUUUAACUCAAUUUCACCAGUCCUAUACUAGAUAUAAGCCGGACUAGUACCAAAUGUGUCCCCAAGUAAUGCAAAGGUAACCAAUUGACACCUUUUCGUCCCCAAGUAAUGCAAAGAAGCGACAGUUGUGCAUAAAUAAAAACCACAACGAAAAAACCAAACGAACAUUUGAAUGAGAUCUCUACGAACAAGAACCACUUUGAAUAGUUUUUUUUAGAUUACCAAUAAAAAAACAAUGCACCGUUAUUCUUGAGGAAUGCAAGUGCGUUUUGUUUGGAAAAAGCAUUCUUAUUCUGAUCGUUGUGAAGUGAAGUAUCAUUUUUCUGUGCAAAUAAGUUAUAAAGUGUUGAAAAUAACAAAUAAAAAGGUCAAAUCAAAAUUUUAGCUGAUGAUUAAGCUGAGUUGAAGGUGAUGGUGCUACGAUCUCAAAGUGAUGAGAUACUAUUAUGGAAUAGGUUCCCCAUCACUUAUGAAAAAUAUUGAGAAUCAAUACAUAUAUGUAAAGAUUAUAGCAUCAAUUAUAAAAGGAGAGGAAACAUCGAAAUGUUUAAAUAUGUUAUCGGUUC
rnacentral:sRNA from 1 species